rnacentral:rRNA from 1 species
UACGGGGGGGGCAAGCGUUGUUCGGAAUUACUGGGCGUAAAGGGCUCGUAGGCGGCCAACUAAGUCAGACGUGAAAUCCCUCGGCUUAACCGGGGAACUGCGUCUGAUACUGGAUGGCUUGAGGUUGGGAGAGGGAUGCGGAAUUCCAGGUGUAGCGGUGAAAUGCGUAGAUAUUGGGAGGAACACCAGUGGCGAAGGCGGCUCACUGGACCGGUUCUGACGCUGAAGCGCGAAAGCGUGGGGAGCAAACGGG